rnacentral:rRNA from 1 species
AUGAGGGUAGGACUCCAAAGUCUGACAAGCACUUCGGCUUCAACCGGAGUCACGUACAGCAAUAGGUGCUCCAAUGCAUAUUCGACUUGUUGUGCUACAAAGCCAGAAGCGCUACCAGUGGAAACAACCUCAACGGAUAUGCCUGUUGAUUCCUUCAGGAGGCCUACUGCAUCCGAAUUUAUUGUUCCGUAUUGGAAAUUCCUGAAGAGCUUGAAUCGUCCAUUUUGUAUUGGAAUGAGAUUUAAGAUUCAGUACAGGAGUCAAGAUGUUAAUGAGAGGCGAUCUAGAAUGAUUACAGGUAUUAAUGAAGUAGACCCUAUUAGGUGGACUGGUUCAAAAUGGAAAAGCCUGCUGGUAAGAUGGGAGGAUGGCACAGACUGUAACAGCCAAAAUAGACCAUCUCCAUGGGAGAUCGAGAUAGUUGGUGGCUCAGUCUCCAUUUCCCAGAGCAUCCCCCGCUGCUGCUCGCCGUCCGUCCAUGGCAUCGGCGUUCGUCUCCUUCUCACCUUCUGUGCUCUCUUCCCAUCCCGCCUCCCACUGCCGCCAUCACUGCUCGAGGAUGCCCCGUGGAUUUGGAAUUUUCACAAUCGGUACACAGUAAAGUACUUUUGGAUUGGCCGGGCGGUGAGUUGCAGUGCUGCUAGCUCGUCGACGACGGCUACGACGCCAUCUGUGGCGUCCCUUGGUUCUCUCUCCCCGGCAAUAAAACAACAGACGGCGGCAGAAAUAGCCGUUCCACGACGAAUCUCUGGUACGUGUCAAACAUGCUGUCACGUUAUGGUACAUGGUACAUGGCGCAUCUACACUUGA